rnacentral:rRNA from 1 species
UACGAACCGUGCGAACGUUAUUCGGAAUCACUGGGCUUAAAGCGCGUGUAGGCGGAUGGGAACGUCGGUCGUUGAAAUCCCCCGGCUCAACCGGGGAACUGGCACCGAAACGACCCGUCUGGAGGGACGUAGGGGGACCUGGAACUUCCGGUGGAGCGGUGAAAUGCGUUGAGAUCGGAAGGAACGCCCGUGGCGAAAGCGAGGUCCUGGACGUCUACUGACGCUGAGACGCGAAAGCUAGGGUAGCGAACGGG